GUUAUCAAUUCACUACUAUUCCCUUAAGAAUUUUAUGCAGUGUCCUUUGGGCCAGAGGUUUCAGCUGCGAUCCAAGAGAUUCUAAACUCUAAUUUGUUGUCGUCUGACUUCUUUUGUUCAUGGAUUUUAGAUAAAACUUCUGCGCUAAGUCUUGUUCAAAGUAUAAGUAUAAGUAUAGAAUUGAACUUGAUUCUGACUGAUUCCAUUGUUAAAAUGCAUGAGUUGUGUGGCUACUGGCUACUCUCCACUGAUGGUUUGCUGUCAUUGUACUUGUGCGUCAAAGAAGGCUUUCUUAAUAUUGUUGAGGAAAAUGUUGUCAGGUAAGGCUAAUCUGUUCACAUCUUGAAAUAAUUAUUUGAUGGUGAAUAUUUGUUAAAGUUAUCUAUUUUCUUUAUUUCUUAUGAUGAAGUAGAUUUGAUGUUGAGAAGAAAAAUAUUAGUGUUCAAUUGUGUGUUGAGUGAGUGGUUUAAAUGAGUAUUAAGAGUAAUUAAAAAUUAUAUAGUAAUAUUAAAUUGUUCAUAAUAUUAGUUUAACGAAAGACUUCUUAAUUUUUUUAAUAAAAUAUAGUGUUCAAAGUGUAUUUUAUCAAUAAUGUUGACAUUCCUACAUUUGAGUCUUAAUUUUAUGUGUCACUUGUUCAUUAAAUAAUAUAUUUUAUCAUUUAUAAAAUUAUUAUUUUAUUAUACAAUAAAUAAAUGACCAUCAAUUAGGACUAAAUUGAAACAUAAAUGUUGAAUAUUACGUUUUGUUAAUGUUAAAGUGUAAUGGUCAUGUUAUGUAGCAAAAAUUCAUGUAUUUAUUUUUUAUUUAUUUUAUAAAAAUUCAGUUUUUCAUAUACAUAGAAGUUAGUAAAUUGAAAUUGUUUCUAUUAAACUGUUGAAGUGCAGGUGUGCAUUUGCUAUAUAUAUGAUUUUUCAGAAUCUUUUAGUUAAAAAAAAAAAAAAAAAACUCGUACUUGAUAGGUAAUUAACUAGGAAAAAUAAAUAAAGAAGAAAGGUGGCAACUUAAGUGUAAUUUCAUUAAAAAUAAUGGAUAAAAUAUAUAAUUAAAUAUUUUGUUGAUAAUGAGACAAAAAGUUAUUUUAUGUGAUUUGAAGAAACAAAAGAGUAAUGGACACAUGUCUAAUGUACAAAGAGUAGGCGAGUAAGUCGCACUGACCGUAACACUGUUUAUAUAUACUGUUGUGGACCCGCCUGAGUUACAGUUCACGUAACACUACUCGACUUUUCUGGCUUCUUAAUGUAAACUAUCGUUGACCUCCUUGUACUUUAUAUUAUUAAUAAUCUAUUCAUAAGUAUAUAAACUUUUCUGUAUUGUAAACUUUUGUUGAGCUCCUUGCACUUUAUUUUAUUUUAUUGAAACCCUUAUAGUAUCAAAUUCGCCCCUAUAAUUUUUAAAUUCCCAAAAUACCCUCUAUUUACUUAAAAAUAUAAUAAUUAUUAAAUGUGUUAUUAUUAUAAUUAUAAUAAUUAUUUUAUUAUAAUUAUCAAUAUCAUUAUAAUUUUUAAAUAGAUUAUUAUUAUUAUUAUUAUCAUUAUUAACAAGAAUAAAAGUAUUAUAAUUAAUUAAUCUAUUAACGAUAAUUAAUAAUAAUUUUUUAGUUAAAUUAAUAAUAAUAAUAAUAAUAAUAAUAAUAAUAAUUAAAAAUAAUAAUAAUUAUUAAUUAAUUUUGAAUAAUAAUAAUAAUCAAAAUAAUUAAAAUAUAAAAUAAUAAUUAUGAUAAAAAUUAAUUAAGAAUUUUAUAGUAAUUUGUUACAAUUUAACUCAUUCCGAUUUUGAUUCUAAAACAAAGUAAAUACAUAAAUAGUAAUACAAUUCAUUCUAAUUAUGAUUCCUCCAGUUCAAGUAAAUAAAUUAUUUUGAUUCCAAUUUCUCAUUUUGAUUCUAUCUAUUCCAAUUUUAACUCAUUAUGUUUUCAGCCAAUUUUGAUUCCUAUUUAGUGAAUGCACUAUAAAAUUGUAAACCACUCUAUAUUCAACUAGACCACUCUAUAUUAUUUACAAUUUAUUCAUAAGUAUUAUGAAACUUUCUUCUUACCUAUACUAUAAAAAUUCAAUUUAUCUCCCUACACUCUUUUUCAUUUACCAUUUUUUUAUAAGUGUCAAAAGAGUGUUUACAACCAUGACACAUUAGUUAUCAUAGCACACUAAUAUUAAUAAAAAGUUUUUUAAGAAUAUUACCAUUAAUCUUUUAUAUAAUAUAUUCUCAUAAUAAUUAAUACUUUCAUGAUAAAAGGAUUAACAAAAUAAAAAGCAAAUUCCCUUUGAAUCCAUCCCUCUCCACCAUUAACUUCUCUUUAUCAGCAACCUUCAUCGAUAAUUGAAGUCACCAUUAGACUCAUCAAAGAGAAAGAGAGUACGAGAGGGGAAGAAGAAAUGGGAAAAAAAUAUGAGAUGUUCACAAUUUUAUAGUGCAUUCAUUAAGCAAGAAUCAAAAUUAGCUGGAAAAAUAAUGAGUUAUGAUCGAAAUGAGGAAUUGGAAUCAGAAUAAUUUAUUUACUUAAACUGCAGGAAUCAUAAUUAGAAUGAGCUGUAUUACCAUUUAUGCGUUUAUUUUGUCUUAGAAUUAAAAUCGGAAUGAAUUAAAAAAAUUACUAUAAAAUUCUUAAUUAAUUUUUAUCAUAAUUAUUAUUUUUUAUUUUAAUUAUUGUGAUUAUUAUUAUUAUUUAAAAAUUAAUUAAUUAAUAAUAAUUAUUUUUAAUUAUUAUUAUUAUUAACAAUUUAACUAAAAAAUUAUUAUUAGUUAUUGUUAAUAGAUUAAUUACUUAUAAUACUUUUAUUCUUGUUAAUAAUAAUAAUAAUAAUAAUAAUCAUCAUCAUCAUCAUCCAUUUAAAAAAUAUAAUUAUAAUCUAUUUAAUAAUUAUUAUAUUUUUUUAAUUAAAUGGAUGGUAUUUUGGAAAUUUAAAAAUUAUAGGGGCAUAUUUGAUACUCUAAAGGUUCUAGUUAAAUAAAACAGAGUAUAAGGGGUUCACCGAAAUUUUAUAAUGAAGAAAGUUUCAUAUACUUAUAAAUAAAUUAUAAAUAAUAUUGAGACAAAGGGGUUCAAAGAUAGUUUACAUCAAGAAGUCAGAAAAGACAAAGACAAAGCAGCUGCAGGUUACGUGAACGGUAACUUAGGCGGGUCCACUUUAAAGUUACGGUCACGGUCUUAUGUACUUUAUUCACAAAGAGCAGUGUUUUUUUUUUUUUUAAUACUGAUUAAUCAUCAGAUUAUUGUAUUACACAGAUAUUUACAAUAAUUACUAUUGUAACAGAGAUAUUAUACUGAUAUUUACAAUCAGAUAUACAUGAUUGAGACUUACAUUAUUACAUUGAAUUCUAUGAAGUACAUGCCCAGACAAAUAACCCCUCACAAGAGAGGAAUGUCCAUACUCUACUUACAUUUCGCAAGAGAAAAUAAUUUUUAAAUAUAAAGAAUAUUUAGCCCCCACAAUGCUUUUGUGGGGGCUAGAACCGCUGCCCUCACAAUACUUGUUUGGUGCUUCUCCACACCUAACACUGCUCUACACCUAACACAAAGAGCAGUGUUAGGUGUAAAGAAGCACGAGAAAAAAAUGAGAGAAUUUUAUUAUCUCUCUAUCCACUCAUUCACUCUCUAUCAUUUUCUUCUUUAUUUCUCUCGUUUUUCUCUCGUACUUCUCUUCACCAAGCAUUUUCCAUUCACAAAAGGGGCACUGAAUUAUUUAAUUUUGUAGGGCAGCUGCAGCUUGCUGAGUCCACACGGUGUUCAAUCUUAUCAAUUCCUCUGAGGC
rnacentral:lncRNA from 1 species